UAGCGGAACUCCUACGGGAGGCAGCAGUAGGGAAUCUUCCGCAAUGGGCGAAAGCCUGACGGAGCAACGCCGCGUGAGUGAUGAAGGGUUUCGGCUCGUAAAACUCUGUUAUUAGGGAAGAACAAACGUGUAAGUAACUGUGCACGUCUUGACGGUACCUAAUCAGAAAGCCACGGCUAACUACGUGCCAGCAGCCGCGGUAAUACGUAGGUGGCAAGCGUUAUCCGGAAUUAUUGGGCGUAAAGCGCGCGUAGGCGGUUUCUUAAGUCUGAUGUGAAAGCCCACGGCUCAACCGUGGAGGGUCAUUGGAAACUGGGAAACUUGAGUGCAGAAGAGGAAAGUGGAAUUCCAUGUGUAGCGGUGAAAUGCGCAGAGAUAUGGAGGAACACCAGUGGCGAAGGCGACUUUCUGGUCUGUAACUGACGCUGAUGUGCGAAAGCGUGGGGAUCAAACAGGAUUAGAAACCCUAGUAGUCCACUUAUG
rnacentral:rRNA from 1 species